rnacentral:rRNA from 1 species
AUUGAACGCUGGCGGCAGGCCUAACACAUGCAAGUCGAGCGGAUGAAGGAAGCUUGCGCCUGGCUUAAGCUGCCGACGGGUGGGUAAUGCAUAGGAAUCUGCCUGGUCGUGGGGGAUAACGUCCGGAAACGGGCGCUAAUACCGCAUACGUCCAGAGUGAGAACGGGAGGGAUCUUCGGACCUCACGCUAUCAGAUGAGCCUAGGUCGGAUUAGCUAGUUGGUGGGGUAAAGGCCUAACAAGGCGACGAUCCGUAACUGGUCUGAGAGGAUGAUCAGUCACACUGGAACUGAGACACGGUCCAGACUCCUACGGGAGGCAGCAGUGGGGAAUAUUGGACAAUGGGCGAAAGCCUGAUCCAGCCAUGCCGCGUGUGUGAAGAAGGUCUUCGGAUUGUAAAGCACUUUAAGUUGGGAGGAAGGGAAGUAAGUUAAUACCUUGCUGUUUUGACGUUACCAACAGAAUAAGCACCGGCUAACUUCGUG